AGAGUUUGAUCAUGGCUCAGAACUAACGCUGGCGGCGUGCCUAACACAUGCAAGUCGCACGAGAAAGUCUUCGGAUGAGUAAAGUGGCGCAAGGGUGAGUAACACGUGAGUAAUCUGCCCCUAUGUUGGGGAUAACCAGCCGAAAGGUUGGCUAAUACCGAAUGGCGGCGCGGGAUUUCGGUUUUCGCGUCUAAAGAUGGCCUCUAUUUAUAAGCUAUCGCAAAGGGAUGAGCUCGCGUUGCAUUAGCUAGUUGGUGUGGUAAUGACUCACCAAGGCUACGAUGCAUAGCUGGUCUGAGAGGACGACCAGUCACACUGGAACUGAGACACGGUCCAGACUCCUACGGGAGGCAGCAGUGAGGAAUAUUGCGCAAUGGGGGAAACCCUGACGCAGCGACGCCGCGUGGAGGAUGAAGGCCUUCGGGUUGUAAACUCCUGUCGGGUGGGACGAAACUUCGGUGGGCUAAUAUCCCGCCGGAUUGACGGUACCGCCAAAGGAAGCCCCGGCUAACUCUGUGCCAGCAGCCGCGGUAAUACAGAGGGGGCGAGCGUUGUUCGGAAUUAUUGGGCGUAAAGGGCGUGUAGGCGGCUUACUAAGUCAGAAGUGAAAGCCCCCGGUUCAACCGGGGAAGGGCUUUUGAAACUGGUAGGCUUGAGCGCGGGAGAGGAAAGCGGAAUUCCCAGUGUAGCGGUGAAAUGCGUAGAUAUUGGGAAGAACACCAGAGGCGAAGGC
rnacentral:rRNA from 1 species